CAUGUACUCCCUCCAUCCAAAAAUACUUGUCAUCAAAAUGGAUAAAAGGAGAUGUAUCUAGACAUAUUUUAGCUCUAGAUACAUCCUUUUUAUCCAUUUUGAUGACAAGUAUUUUCGGACGGAGGGAGUAGGAA
rnacentral:pre_miRNA from 1 species